rnacentral:rRNA from 1 species
GACGAACGCUGGCGGCGUGCCUAAUACAUGCAAGUAGAACGCUGAAGGAGGAGCUUGCUCUUCUGGAUGAGUUGCGAACGGGUGAGUAACGCGUAGGUAACCUGCCUGGUAGCGGGGGAUAACUAUUGGAAACGAUAGCUAAUACCGCAUAAGAGUAGAUGUUGCAUGACAUUUACUUAAAAGGUGCAAUUGCAUCACUACCAGAUGGACCUGCGUUGUAUUAGCUAGUUGGUGGGGUAACGGCUUACCAAGGCGACGAUACAUAGCCGACCUGAGAGGGUGAUCGGCCACACUGGGACUGAGACACGGCCCAGACUCCUACGGGAGGCAGCAGUAGGGAAUCUUCGGCAAUGGACGGAAGUCUGACAGAGCAACGCCGCGUGAGUGAAGAAGGUUUUCGGAUCGUAAAGCUCUGUUGUAAGAGAAGAACGAGUGUGAGAGUGGAAAGUUCACACUGUGACGGUAUCUUACCAGAAAGGGACGGCUAACUACGUG